CGGAGCAUAGUUCAGUUGGCUAGAAUGCACGGUUUGGGACCGUGAGGUCGCAAGUUCGAGUCUUGCUGCUCCGACCA
rnacentral:tRNA from 1 species